rnacentral:misc_RNA from 1 species
ACACCUCAACUCUCGUGGUUCGCCAUGAUGAGCUUGGACUUUGGGGGUCUUGCUGGCCUACGGUCGGCUCCUCUUAAACGAAUCAGCUUGCCAGUGUUUGGUGGCAUCACAGGUGUGAUAACUAUCUACGCUUGUGGUUUUCCGCCAGGUAACCUUCAGUGAUGGAGGUUCGCUGGGGCUCACAAAUGUCUCUCCUCAGCGAGGACAGCUUUUUAAC